UACGGAGGGGGCAAGCGUUGUUCGGAAUCAUUGGGCGUAAAGGGCGCGUAGGCGGCCGGAAAAGUCGGAUGUGAAAUCCCUCGGCUCAACCGAGGAACUGCACUCGAUACUGUCUGGCUAGAGUCCGGGAGGGGAUGGUGGAAUUCCCAGUGUAGCGGUGAAAUGCGUAGAUAUUGGGAAGAACACCGGUGGCGAAGGCGGCCAUCUGGACCGGCACUGACGCUGAGGCGCGAAAGCCAGGGGAGCGAAUGGG
rnacentral:rRNA from 1 species